UCUAGAAUUCACUGACCCUUUGCUGAAAUUUUACAAAUAUGUGGAAGCCUUGACAAUGCUACGACAGGAAUCUUUUGAAAAGUUUCAGGUAGCUAACUAUGGUAUUGGAGGACACUAUGAAACGCAUAGAGACUUUUUCGAUUUUGAUGAGAAGGAUCACAAGAUGAACAACCGAAUAGCAACUUUUAUGAUAUACGUUUGUGCAGUUUCAUUUUUUAUGCUCCUCCGACUUCCAUUAUAAAUUUAGUUCUAGUUAAUACAAAAUAUGUUGUAAAUUACUUAACUGACUGUUCUGCAAUAUUUGGUCAAGUAAAAUUAAAAACAGGUACAUAUAAAAUACGUAAGUACAUUUGCAGCCCUUUUUCACAAUUGUUGAAAAAUCGUGAUUUUUAUCACUGUAUUGUAAAAAUCAAAUUUUCAGUCCC
rnacentral:lncRNA from 1 species